CUAAGGUCCUCCAUUCUGAUUUUAAAUUUAUCUCCCAAAUUUUUCUUGUUCCAGAUUAAGGCCUUGGCGCCCGCCUCCUGUACACAAUCCAUAGGUGGGCCCUCGCGGUAUUCAUCAUCCAGAUAUUCUAGACUAUUUUGCUUGUGGAGACCGCAUGCUGGAGUCUUCUCGACUGGGCAACGACCUGCCAGUUUCGCUAUUGCUUUAGCUUCAUCAGGAAAAGAGAUCUCUUUCUAUCUAGCCGGUAAUGGGUUAUAAAGGGCCCAUGAUCUCCAGGGACUGGAUCCCAUGUUGCUGGAACUGUCUGCUAAUGGGUAUGGAUUGGUCCCCCCUUGUGAUGUUGCUGAGGUGUCCUGUCAGUCUGACUCUGAUGCUGUUACCUGUUUUGCCUAUGUACAGUAAGUUGCACUCUUUACAUCUAAUUGCAUACACCACAUUCUUUUGCUCACAGGUUAUCCUCUGCGCUAUCUGGCCUCUCUUCCCUGUUACACUGUUCUCUAUAUUUUUGGCUUUUACUAAGUGGGUGCAGGCCCCACACCGUCUCUGCCCACAGUCUGGGGCUGUGUGUAGACUUGUACUGACCAGGAUGUCCUUCAGAUUUUUAGCCCUCUUGUAUGCUGACAUUACCUUGUACCCCUUUAGUGUGGCAAAUCCCCUUUGGAAUUGUUCAAACCGGCCCU